GAGAGUUUCAUGCUAUGGAGAGGAAAGGUGAAAAGGAGGAGAGCCAGGAGAUCAACGAGAGUCCCAUGUGGUUACAGUGUGAAGAAUGCCUUAAAUGGAGAAGCGUCCCCCCGGGUCAUUACAGCGUCACUCCUGAAAACUGGAACUGCAGCCAGAACCCCAACCCACGCUUCAGGAGCUGUUCUUCACCAGAGGAAGCAGAGGAAAGUGAAGAGAUGUUAACACCCAGCUACCAAAAAACCCACAAGAAACAGUAAAUUCCCAUUCCCAUCAUCCUCUCUCUCUCUCUCUCUCUCUCUCUCUCUCUCUCUCUCUCUCUCUCUCUCUCUCUCUCUCUCUCUCUCUCUCUCCCUCUCUUUCUCUCUGUUUUUGUCUACCUCUGUGUUAGCUGGUGUAUAGAAGGGAGUCUCACACUGUUAUUUUCAGAAUAUGUGUCCCCACCCAUCUGCCUGUUUGCAUCUGCAUGUGGG
rnacentral:lncRNA from 1 species